CAGGGAAUCUUGCCCAAUGGGCGAAAGCCUGAYRCASCCACGCCGCGUGGGGGAUGAAGGCCUUCGGGUUGUAAACCCCUUUCAGGRGGGAAGAAAUUGACGGUACCUCCACRAGAAGGACCGGCCAACUWCCUGCCAGCAGCCGCGGGAAUAANUCCGGG
rnacentral:rRNA from 1 species